AGCGAACGCUGGCGGCAGGCCUAAUACAUGCAAGUCGAGCUCACCUUCGGGUGAGCGGCGGACGGGUGAGUGACGCGUGGGAAUGUGCCCUUUGGUACGGAACAACUGAGGGAAACUUCAGCUAAUACCGUAUGUGCCCUUCGGGGGAAAGAUUUAUCGCCAUUGGAGCAGCCCGCGUUGGAUUAGGUAGUUGGUGAGGUAAAGGCUCACCAAGCCUACGAUCCAUAGCUGGUCUGAGAGGAUGAUCAGCCACACUGGGACUGAGACACGGCCCAGACUCCUACGGGAGGCAGCAGUAGGGAAUCUUGCGCAAUGGGCGAAAGCCUGACGCAGCCAUGCCGCGUGAAUGAUGAAGGUCUUAGGAUUGUAAAA
rnacentral:rRNA from 1 species